GACGAACGCUGGCGGCGUGCUUAACACAUGCAAGUCGAACGAUGAAGCCGGAGCUUGCUCUGGUGAAUUAGUGGCGAACGGGUGAGUAACACGUGAGUAACCUGCCCUUGACUCUGGGAUAACUGCGGGAAACUGUAGCUAAUACCGGAUACGACCUUCGGAGGCAUCUCCUGCGGGUGGAAAGAAUUUCGGUCAAGGAUGGACUCGCGGCCUAUCAGCUAGUUGGUGAGGUAAAGGCUCACCAAGGCGACGACGGGUAGCCGGCCUGAGAGGGUGACCGGCCACACUGGGACUGAGACACGGCCCAGACUCCUACGGGAGGCAGCAGUGGGGAAUAUUGCACAAUGGGCGCAAGCCUGAUGCAGCAACGCCGCGUGAGGGAUGACGGCCUUCGGGUUGUAAACCUCUUUUAGCAGGGAAGAAGCGAAAGUGACGGUACCUGCAGAAAAAGCACCGGCUAANUANGUGCCAGCAGCCGCCGUAA
rnacentral:rRNA from 1 species